AGGAUCGCUGCUGAAGCUUCGACCGCCGUUGCUAAGGCUUGUCGCCAGAGCCACGACCAUCGCUGUCAAAAGGAGUCGCUACCAGAGGAAAAGCCUAUCGUCGUUGAACCCAGCACAAGAGAGAACAAACCUAAAACAGGGGGAAGAGAGAGAAAUGCGACGGAAGAGGGGUCACCGUCACGCUUACUAUCGCCGUCGACAGAGCUCGUUAUCGAAGAGACAUCACUAGCGCCGCUACUGCUGACCCAUCUCAGCCACUGCCUUGGUCUUGUUCAGUCACCGUAAUCUUCUUGGUUCUUGUCUUUGAACCCGCAACAUCUACGAUUUAUUUUGGUUGUUUGUCAGUUUGUUGUCACAAAAAAAACACCACUUUCGGAGUCACUUUCGCUUGCUCAACUCUGCCUGUUUUUGAGUCCCUUUUUUGCUUUCCAAAACCAUUAUUGUCGUGGUGGUUGCCAUUGGAGCUAUUUGUGUUGAAUGAAACUGUCACUGUUGAGCUGCUCCACCACCGUUGUUGCUGGAGGUGACUGCCGGAACUAUUAUUGUGCCAUCUUGCCUUAUUCUUCAUGGUCGCUAUAUUGUUGGUUGGAAAUCAUGAGGUUCCUGCCGCUACUGUGAAUCAAAAAUAAAAAGGGGUGGUUCGUCGUGUUUAAUUUCUGAGUUUUGACUAAUUAAGGUAUUAUUGGGCUUUUAAUCCGUCUUUGAAAACUCUCAGAUCCAUUUAAUACAAUGCACGUUUUUAUUGGGCUGAUCUGCA